UACGUAGAAGACUAGUGUUAUUCAUCUUUAAUAGGUUUAAAAGGGUACCUAGACGGUAUAAUUAGUCUAAAAAUAAGAUACGGUUAUACUAGAGUUAUAUAUGAGGAGGUGAGUAUUUAUGGAGUAGAGUUGAAAUUCUGUCAUCCCAUAACGACUGGUAACGGCGAAAGCAACCUUUUAUCUAAUAACUGACGUUGAGGGACGAAGGCUCGGGUAACGAACAGG
rnacentral:rRNA from 1 species